GCAUGGCUUGUAUUGACCACACACUAACGUGUCGGAUGUUUUAUGAGUGGGUUUCCCCUCAUGAGCUGAUGGCUAGUCGGUGGUGAUUGAUCUUGCAAUGGGACGACGCAUGAGUGGCGAUUAGGAUGUGUUUUCUUGCAGGCUCUGCGUAUCAUACGUCGAACUGUGUGGAGCUAUCCAUUUCAGUAAUCCAUUGCUUUGGCUUGUCUUUUGCUCGUUGCAAAAUGAUUGGGUGGUUUCUGUGUUGGCUACUAAUAUUGGUAUGCGGGAUUGAUGGAAUCCAUUGUGCUUUGUUCUUUCGCCGUUGGCUUGUCCAGCGAAGGGGGACAUUAUAUCGGUCUCCUAUGCUCCACACAAGUUAUCCCCUUAAUCGAGUGGAUUUGUGAUGGCUCAUGGGUGGCCGYCUAUGCUCUCGGGUAUGUGAAAUAUUCGGUUGUCGUCCGGGUCUUUGACCCAUACGUAUCAUUUCUUGAGCGUGUAGCUYUAUUUUGUAUGACCCUCGUGCUUCUUCCUGACCUCAUUGAGCCUUAGUGCUCGUUGUUCGUCACGGAGAUGCUGAGGUCUAUGAGUAAUGC
rnacentral:misc_RNA from 1 species